GAUCCUGGCUCAGGAUGAACGCUAGCUACAGGCUUAACACAUGCAAGUCGAGGGGAAACGAUAGAGAAAGCUUGCUUUUUCUAGGCGUCGACCGGCGCACGGGUGAGUAACGCGUAUCCAACCUGCCCAUCACUUGGGGAUAACCUUGCGAAAGUAAGACUAAUACCCAAUGAUAUCUCUAGAAGACAUCUGAAAGAGAUUAAAGAUUUAUCGGUGAUGGAUGGGGAUGCGUCUGAUUAGCUUGUUGGCGGGGUAACGGCCCACCAAGGCGACGAUCAGUAGGGGUUCUGAGAGGAAGGUCCCCCACAUUGGAACUGAGACACGGUCCAAACUCCUACGGGAGGCAGCAGUGAGGAAUAUUGGUCAAUGGACGAGAGUCUGAACCAGCCAAGUAGCGUGCAGGAUGACGGCCCUAUGGGUUGUAAACUGCUUUUAUAAGGGAAUAAAGUGAGUCUCGUGAGGCUUUUUGCAUGUACCUUAUGAAUAAGGACCGGCUAAUUCCGUG
rnacentral:rRNA from 1 species